rnacentral:rRNA from 1 species
UACGUAGGGGGCAAGCGUUAUCCGGAUUUACUGGGUGUAAAGGGAGCGUAGACGGCAGAGCAGGUCUGAAGUGAAAGCCCGCGGCCCAACUGCGGGACUGCUUUGGAAACUGCCCGGCUAGAGUGCUGGAGAGGUAAGCGGAAUUCCUAGUGUAGCGGUGAAAUGCGUAGAUAUUAGGAGGAACACCAGUGGCGAAGGCGGCUUACUGGACAGUAACUGACGUUGAGGCUCGAAAGCGUGGGGAGCAAACAGG